AAUAAAAAUAUUUUCCUACUAGGUGGUCCUGCAGUGAGCAGUGCAGGAUCAAAUCUUAUUCUUGGAUUAAAUCCUUCAAUUGCAAGUUUAGAGGUGAACCAGGGUCCUGGGGUUAGCAGUGAUAAAAAUCCUAUUCUAGGAUUAAAUCCUUUAUUUGGAACUUUAAAGGGAGUAAAGAGACUUUUACUGAUAUUGUCAGGACUAUUGGAUUGUCAAGUAAGGUAAGAUAUGAUUUAAUGUCAAUGCCCUUCUUGGUUUAAGGAAGUAAAGAGACUUUUACUGAUAUUGUCAGGACUAUUGGAUUGUCAGUAAGAAAAUCAAGAAAGCUCUUUAACCAAACAAGAAAAAGGAGGAUUCACAAUAUUCUGGAAGUGUGAACUGUAAAGAAAAAUCAAGAUGGAGAACAUGGAAGAAGAAGAAGGCAAGAAUACAUACCUGCUAGGAGGAGGAGAGAAAAGAGAGUGGACACCUGCUGAAGCUGCAGACUGGUUUGCU